rnacentral:ncRNA from 1 species
GUUAAAUCGUAGAAGAAGAAGAGUACCUUAUAGAAGUGGCAAGAGAGGAAACGGAUGGUGCAAGUUUCUCAUGACUAUGGGGGAAGCUACUUUGGAGAGUGAUGUAAACAUCAACGUGAGCCUGCGUUAAGGGUAUAAAGAGCAAGGCGUAAGCCUUGAAUAAGGAUGGUACCGCGAUUAUAGUCGUUCCUUUU